AGCUUGCUCCUUUGACGUUAGCGGCGGACGGGUGAGUAACACGUGGGUAACCUACCUAUAAGACUGGGAUAACUUCGGGAAACCGGAGCUAAUACCGGAUAAUAUUUCGAACCGCAUGGUUCGAUAGUGAAAGAUGGUUUUGCUAUCACUUAUAGAUGGACCCGCGCCGUAUUAGCUAGUUGGUAAGGUAACGGCUUACCAAGGCGACGAUACGUAGCCGACCUGAGAGGGUGAUCGGCCACACUGGAACUGAGACACGGUCCAGACUCCUACGGGAGGCAGCAGUAGGGAAUCUUCCGCAAUGGGCGAAAGCCUGACGGAGCAACGCCGCGUGAGUGAUGAAGGUCUUCGGAUCGUAAAACUCUGUUAUUAGGGAAGAACAUACGUGUAAGUAACUGUGCACGUCUUGACGGUACCUAAUCAGAAAGCCACGGCUAACUACGUGCCAGCAGCCGCGGUAAUACGUAGGUGGCAAGCGUUAUCCGGAAUUAUUGGGCGUAAAGCGCGCGUAGGCGGUUUUUUAAGUCUGAUGUGAAAGCCCACGGCUCAACCGUGGAGGGUCAUUGGAAACU
rnacentral:rRNA from 1 species